UCUGGUGACAAUAGCACGGAGGCUACACCUGUACCCAUCCCGAACACAGAAGUUAAGUUCCGUAGCGCUGAUGAUACUUGGCGGGCGACUGCCUGGGAAAGUAGGACGUUGCCAGUU
rfam:Eubacterium brachy ATCC 33089 genomic scaffold Scaffold150, whole genome shotgun sequence.